rnacentral:rRNA from 1 species
AUGAACGCUGGCGGCGUGCCUAAUACAUGCAAGUCGAGCGAACGGACGAGAAGCUUGCUUCUCUGAUGUUAGCGGCGGACGGGUGAGUAACACGUGGAUAACCUACCUAUAAGACUGGGAUAACUUCGGGAAACCGUAGCUAAUACCGGAUAAUAUUUUGAACCGCAUGGUUCAAAAGUGAAAGACGGUCUUGCUGUCACUUAUAGAUGGAUCCGCGCUGCAUUAGCUAGUUGGUAAGGUAACGGCUUACCAAGGCAACGAUGCAUAGCCGACCUGAGAGGGUGAUCGGCCACACUGGAACUGAGACAAGGUCCAGACUCCUACGGGAGGCAGCAGUAGGGAAUCUUCCGCAAUGGGCGAAAGCCUGACGGAGCAACGCCGCGUGAGUGAUGAAGGUCUUCGGAUCGUAAAACUCUGUUAUUAGGGAAGAACAUAUGUGUAAGUAACUGUGCACAUCUUGACGGUACCUAAUCAGAAAGCCACGGCUAACUACGUG